GUCUUUUUGAAAUAAAUUUAAAGUCUGACCUGCCCACUGAUAAUAUUAAAGGGCCGCGGUAUUUUGACCGUGCAAAGGUAGCAUAAUCAUUAGUUUUUUAAUUGAAAGCUUGUAUGAAUGGUUGGACGAAAUAUUUACUGUCUCAUAAAAAUUUAUAUUAGAAAUUAAUUUUUUUGUUAAAAAGCAAAAAUAAUAUUAGAGGACGAGAAGACCCUAUAGAGCUUUAUAAUUUUAUUAUUUAAUUUUUUAAGAAAAUUUUGAAUUUUAUAAAAAUAAUUAUUUUGUUGGGGUGACAGUAAAAUUUAUAAAACUUUUAUUAUAAUAUUACAUUGAUUAAUGAAUGUUUGAUCCAUUAUUAAUGAUUAAAAAAUUAAGUUACCUUAGGGAUAACAGCGUAAUUUUUUUUAAGAGUUCAUAUCGACAAAAAAGAUUGCGACCUCGAUGUUGGAUUAAGAAUUAUUUUUAGGUGUAGAAGUUUAAAGUUUAGGUCUGUUCGACCUUUGAAUUCUU
rnacentral:rRNA from 1 species